rnacentral:rRNA from 1 species
CGUUUUCGGCGCCCGUAGCUAACGCAUUAAGUGCCCCGCCUGGGGAGUACGGCCGCAAGGCUAAAACUCAAAGGAAUUGACGGGGGCCCGCACAAGCGGCCGGAGCAUGCGGAUUAAUUCGAUGCAACGCGAAGAACCUUACCAAGGCUUGACAUACACCGGACCGCCCUAGAGAUAGGGUUUCCCUUCGGGGCUGGUGUACAGGUGGUGCAUGGUUGUCGUCAGCUCGUGUCGUGAGAUGUUGGGUUAAGUCCCGCAACGAGCGCAACCAUUGUCCUAUGUUGCCAGCACGUAAUGGUGGGGACUCAUGGUAGACUGCCGGGGUCAACUCGGAGGAAGGUGGGGAUGACGUCAAAUCAUCAUGCCCCUUAUGUCUUGGGCUUCACGCAUGCUACAAUGGCCGGUACAGUGGGUUGCGAUACUGUGAGGUGGAGCUAAUCCCUAAAAGCCGGUCUCAGUUCGGAUCGAAGUCUGCAACUCGACUUCGUGAAGUUGGAGUCGCUAGUAAUCGCAGAUCAGCAAUGCUGCGGUGAAUACGUACCCGGGCCUUGUACACACCGCCCGUCAAGGCACGAAAGUUGGUAACACCCGAAGCCGGUGGCCCAA